rnacentral:rRNA from 1 species
CGGGGAAACUCACCAGGUCCAGACACAUUAAGGAUUGACAGAUUGAGAGCUCUUUCUUGAUUAUGUGGGUGGUGGUGCAUGGCCGUUCUUAGUUGGUGGAGUGAUUUGUCUGCUUAAUUGCGAUAACGAACGAGACCUUAACCUGCUAAAUAGCCAGGCUAGCUUUUGCUGGUCGCCGGCUUCUUAGAGGGACUAUCGGCUCAAGCCGAUGGAAGUUUGAGGCAAUAACAGGUCUGUGAUGCCCUUAGAUGUUCUGGGCCGCACGCGCGCUACACUGACAGAGCCAACGAGUAUAAACCUUAACCGAGAGGUUUGGGUAAUCUUGUUAAACUCUGUCGUGCUGGGGAUAGGGCAUUGCAAUUAUUGCCCUUCAACGAGGAAUAUCUAGUAAGCGCAAGUCAUCAGCUUGCGUUGAUUACGUCCCUGCCCUUUGUACACACCGCCCGUCGCUACUACCGAUUGAAUGGCUCAGUGAGGCCUUCGGACUGGCUCCAGGAGGU